rnacentral:rRNA from 1 species
AUUGAACGCUGGCGGCAUGCCUUACACAUGCAAGUCGGACGGCAGCACAGAGAAGCUUGCUUCUUGGGUGGCGAGUGGCGAACGGGUGAGUAACAUAUCGGAACGUACCGAGCAGUGGGGGAUAACUAAUCGAAAGAUUAGCUAAUACCGCAUAUAUUCUGAGGAAGAAAGCAGGGGACCAUUUGGCCUUGCGCUGUUUGAGCGGCCGAUAUCUGAUUAGCUAGUUGGUGGGGUAAAGGCCUACCAAGGCGACGAUCAGUAGCGGGUCUGAGAGGAUGAUCCGCCACACUGGGACUGAGACACGGCCCAGACUCCUACGGGAGGCAGCAGUGGGGAAUUUUGGACAAUGGGCGCAAGCCUGAUCCAGCCAUGCCGCGUGUCUGAAGAAGGCCUUCGGGUUGUAAAGGACUUUUGUCAGGGAAGAAAAGGGCGGGGUUAAUACCCCUGUCUGAUGACG